AAGUCGUAACAAGGUCUCCGUAGGUGAACCUGCGGAGGGAUCAUUAACACAUGAAAGGGACGAGUGGAACAUGAAAAAUGGACCAACUCGCUCUCUUUUGUAUUCCCAAUACACCCAUCUAGCGUGAACUAGGAUGCCACUUUUUUCUAGCAGAUUUUCGAAUCUGCUGUUUUUUGCUAUUUUUUUGCAAAACUUUUUCCAAUCUUUGUAUUGAACAGUGUUCCAGUUGAUCCUAGUCUUGUACUAGUAUGAACUAGCAUGUUUUAUAACAUUAUAGAGUACGACUCUUAGCAACGGAUAUCUUGGUUCUC
rnacentral:misc_RNA from 1 species